GCCGGGCACAGUGGCGUGUGCCUGUAGUCCUAGCUAUUCGGGAGGCUGAGGCUGGAGGAUCUCUUGAGUCCAGGACUUCUGGGCUGUAGUGUGUUUUGCCGAUCGGGUGUCCACACUAAGUUCGGCAUCAAUAUGGUGACCUCCCAGGAGUGGGGGACCACCAGGUUGCCUAAGGAGGGGUGAACUGCCCCAGAUCGGAAAUGGAGCAGGUCAAAACUCCUGUGCUGAUCAGUAGUGGGAUCACGCCUGUGAAUAGCUACUGCACUCCAGCCUGGGCAACAUAGCGAGACCCCGUCCCU
rnacentral:SRP_RNA from 1 species